UCAAGCAAAUAGAGGUUUGCGGCGGAUGCCUGGGAGCUGUCCGGCGAAGAAGGCCGCGGUAAGCUGCGAAAAGCUGCGGGGAGGAGCACACAUCCUGAGAUCCGCAGAUAGCCGAAUGGGGUAACCCGUAUGUCGCAAGGCAUACACCGCGCGCGGGAAGAAGAUACUGCGGCGGAGCGAUACUGCGUGAAGUGAACCAUCUAAGUAACGCGGGAAGAGAAAUCAAAAGAGAUUGCGCAAGUAGCGGCGAGCGAACGCGCAGGAGCCUAAACCCUUAUGUAGGGUGUUGCAGGGCCGCACGGGGAUGACCCGUGGAGUUGGUGAGAAAACCGAUAUGUAGCGGAAGCGUCUGGAAAGGCGCGCGAGACAGCGUGAAAGCCGCGUAAGCGAAAAGGAUCGGACUCCAUGGUGCGGUACCUAAGUAGGGCGGGGCACGAGAAACCCUGUUUGAAUCCGGGUCGACCACGAUCCAAGGCUAAAUACGAGACAGCUACCGACAGCGAAGAGUACCGUGAGGGAAAGGCGAAAAGAACCCCGGUGAGGGGAGUGAAAGAGAACCUGAAACCGCAAACCGACAAGAUGUCACGGCGCGUGAGCGUUGUGGCGUGUCUUUUGUAGAAUAAACCUGCGAGUUGCGUUGCGCGGCGAGGCUAAGGGUUGGAAGAUCCGGAGCCGGAGCGAAAGCGAGUGUGAAAAGUGCGAAAAGUCGCGUGUCGCAGACCCGAAGCCAAGGUGAUCUAAUUAUGGGCAGGCUGAAGGCAGGGUGAAACCUGUUGGAGGGCCGAACAGUAAUCUGUUAAAAAAGGUAGUGAUGACCUGUGAUUAGGAGUGAAAGGCUAAACAAACCUGGAAAUAGCUGGCUCUCCCCGAAAUGCCUUUAGGGACAGCCUCAUGCAAAGCGGAAGGAGGUAAAGCACCGGAUGGGAUAGGGGGCGUCACAGUCUACCGACACCAAUCGAACUCAGAAUGCCAUCCGCCAACGCAUGGGAGUGAGACUGUGUGCUCCAAGGUUCAUAGUCGAGAGGGAAACAGCCCGGACCGUCGGCAAAGGUCCCAAAAUAACGCUCAGUGUGAAAUGAGGUGCGUCUGCACAGACAGCCAGGAGGUUGGCUUAGAAGCAGCCAUUCCUUAAAAGAGUGCGUAACAGCUCACUGGUCGAGCAGGCGUGCGCAGACAAUGUAACGGGGCUAAGCGUUAUACCGAAGCCGCGGGUCCGCAUCGUAAGAGAUGCGGGCGGUAGGGGAGCAUUGCGCUAACCGGCGAAGGCGUACCUGUGAGGGGCGCUGGAGGAAGCGGAAGAGAGAAUGCAGGCACAAGUAACGAAAAGACGGGUGAGAUUCCCGUCCGCCGAAAGCCUGAGGAUUCCCGGGUAAAGGCAAUCUGCCCGGGGUAAGUCGGCCCCUAAGGCGAGGACGAAAGUCGUAGUCGAUGGGAAAUCGGUUCAAAAUCCGAUACCCGGCUCAGUUUUGAAGGCAGGACGCAUGAGGUGAAAUCCGGCAGGAGAACGGUAGUUCCUGUCCAAGCAGUGAGGUGUUGAGAGGGCGGUUAAAAGAGCCCUUGAGCUGAGCCGUUACGGGGAGCGGAGCGCAGGCGAAGCGAAGCGGAUGUAAUCAAGGUGCCGGGAAAUACUGUCUAAAGCUAGGCUGAGUCGGACCGUACCGGAAACGGACACACGCAGGCAGGAUGAGUAAUCUAAGGCGCACGAGCGACCCCGCGUUAAGGAACUCGGCAAAAAGCACACGUAACUUCGGAAGAAGUGUGGCUCACGCUGAUAAGGAUGUGAGCGGCAGAAAGCAGGCCCAGGCGACUGUUUAUCAAAAACACAGCCAUCUGCGAACCAGUAAUGGGACGUAUAGGUGGUGACACCUGCCCGGUACCGGAAGGUUAAGGGGAGGGGUUAGCAGCAAUGCGAAGCUCCGAACCGAAGCCCCGGCAAACGGCGGCCGUAACUAUAACGGUCCUAAGGUAGCGAAAUUCCUUGUCGGGUAA
rnacentral:rRNA from 1 species